rnacentral:rRNA from 1 species
AACGAACGCUGGCGGCAUGCCUAACACAUGCAAGUCGAACGAAGGCUUCGGCCUUAGUGGCGCACGGGUGCGUAACGCGUGGGAACCUGCCCCUCGGUUCGGAAUAACGGUUAGAAAUAGACUGCUAAUACCGGAUGAUGACUUCGGUCCAAAGAUUUAUCGCCGAGGGAGUGGGCCCGCGUAGGAUUAGCUAGUUGGUGGGGUAAAGGCCUACCAAGGCGACGAUCCUUAGCUGGUCUGAGAGGAUGAUCAGCCACACUGGGACUGAGACACGGCCCAGACUCCUACGGGAGGCAGCAGUGGGGAAUAUUGGACAAUGGGCGAAAGCCUGAUCCAGCAAUGCCGCGUGAGUGAUGAAGGCCUUAGGGUUGUAAAGCUCUUUUACCAGGGAUGAUAAUGACAGUACCUGGAGAAUAAGCUCCGGCUAACUUCGUGCCAGCAGCCGCGGUAAUGUAGACGU